UACGUAGGGUGCGAGCGUUGUCCGGAAUUAUUGGGCGUAAAGAGCUUGUAGGCGGUUUGUCGCGUCUGCCGUGAAAAUCCGAGGCUCAACCUCGGACUUGCGGUGGGUACGGGCAGACUAGAGUGUGGUAGGGGAGACUGGAAUUCCUGGUGUAGCGGUGAAAUGCGCAGAUAUCAGGAGGAACACCGAUGGCGAAGGCAGGUCUCUGGGCCACUACUGACGCUGAGACACGAAAGCGUGGGUAGCAAACAGG
rnacentral:rRNA from 1 species